rnacentral:lncRNA from 1 species
UAGACAUCCCUAGAAAGAAUAACCCAGUGAUUUACAGCCUUACUUUGGGAUUCUGUUUUCAGUUGUGCUACAGAUGUCCUAUAUGACCUUGACCACUGUGCCAGAGGCACCAAGCCAAUUGGAAACACAAGACUUGGAGAUUUAACUGGAGUUCAGACUGUCUGAAUUCAGAGGGCUUUAGACUCUCUGUGCCUCAGGUCCCUGCGUGUGAAAAGAAGAUAAAUUGACUUCCCUGCUUCACAGUGAUGUUGGACAGAGAAAUUCAUCUCAGACUAUCAGGAAGAUUUCUACUCUCUGGAGUGCGAUCUUCUGCAUCUUUUGAGAACACAGAAGCACGAAGUUGUCGCUGGGACACAGAUUUCAUCUGUCAUUUUAAACUCUCCACUUAUGUGCCUGAAUCACCCCACCGACUUCUUGCCUGGCUCUUUGCCUUUCAGAAGACAGAAAUGGUCACUUAUUUCUCAGAGAAAGUCAAGAGGAUGAGAGUCAGUCCUCUGUCAAAACUGAGGACUUCUGGGAAUGCAGGAAGAACUCUCAGGCAUCAAGGUACCUGCCAUGAAGAUAAGAGUAAGUUCCAUAAAGCUGCUGUGUCAGCCAGAACGAUUGGCACAUUCUGCACUCUGCCUACCUCAUCCCAGAAGAUGUGCUGGGCUGCAAGAGGAUGGGAAACAAGCCAUUCCUCAUCUUGGUGCCAUUUUGAAUCCUGGACUCCAAUGAAUUAUUCCUCCUGAGAGAAGAGCAUAUGGCCGCUGUAACAUCAGGUUAUCUGAGAAACGAACUGGAUCAGGUUUUCUGGGGACAGCUGCUUUCUCACAAAUUAGAUAGACAAUAUUACUGUGGGAAGGAAUAA